rnacentral:rRNA from 1 species
GAGUUUGAUCCUGGCUCAGAUUGAACGCUGGCGGCAUGCCUUACACAUGCAAGUCGAACGGCAGCAUGAUCUAGCUUGCUAGAUUGAUGGCGAGUGGCGAACGGGUGAGUAAUACAUCGGAACGUGCCCUGUAGUGGGGGAUAACUAGUCGAAAGAUUAGCUAAUACCGCAUACGACCUGAGGGUGAAAGUGGGGGACCGCAAGGCCUCAUGCUAUAGGAGCGGCCGAUGUCUGAUUAGCUAGUUGGUGGGGUAAAGGCCCACCAAGGCGACGAUCAGUAGCUGGUCUGAGAGGACGAUCAGCCACACUGGGACUGAGACACGGCCCAGACUCCUACGGGAGGCAGCAGUGGGGAAUUUUGGACAAUGGGCGAAAGCCUGGUCCAGCAAUGCCGCGUGUGUGAAGAAGGCCUCGGUUGUAAG